rnacentral:rRNA from 1 species
CAGUCGCCACGGUAAUACGGAGGGCGCGAGCGUUACCCGGAUUUACUGGGCGUAAAGGGCGUGUAGGCGGCCUGGGGCGUCCCAUGUGAAAGGCCACGGCUCAACCGUGGAGGAGCGUGGGAUACGCUCAGGCUAGAGGGUGGGAGAGGGUGGUGAAUUCCCGGAGUAGCGGUGAAAUGCGCAGAUACCGGGAGGAACGCCGAUGGCGAAGGCAGCCACCUGGUCCACUUCUGACGCUGAGGCGCGAAAGCGUGGGAAGCAAACCGGAUUAGAUACCCCGGUAGUCCCUGUCUCUUAUACA